GUAUCGAAAAAUAUCCCAGAGUGC
rnacentral:siRNA from 1 species